rnacentral:rRNA from 1 species
GAUCCUGGCUCAGAUUGAACGCUGGCGGCAGGCCUAACACAUGCAAGUCGAACGGUAACAGGAAGCAGCUUGCUGCUUCGCUGACGAGUGACGGACGGGUGAGUAGUGUCUGGGAAACUGCCUGAUGGAGGGGGAUAACUACUGGAAACGGUAGCUAAUACCGCAUAACGUCGCAAGACCAAAGAGGGGGGACCUUCGGGCCUCUUGCCAUCGGAUGUGCCCAGAUGGGAUUAG